rnacentral:rRNA from 1 species
GACGGGGGAGGCAGGCGUUAUCCGGAAUUAUUGGGCGUAAAGGGUACGUAGGCGGCUGGUCAAGUCUGGGGUUAAAGGCCACAGCUCAACUGUGGGAAGGCCCUGGAAACUGACCGGCUAGAGUGAGGUAGGGGUUGCGGGAAUUCCCGGUGUAGCGGUGAAAUGCGUAGAGAUCGGGAAGAACACCUGAGGCGGAAGCGCGCAACUGGGCCUCAACUGACGCUGAGGUACGAAAGCUAGGGGAGCGAAUGGG